rnacentral:rRNA from 1 species
AUGGCGGAGGAGUGCUGCAGCGCGGACCUGCUGGAGUGGAUCGGCCCUGACGUCUCAGCAUGCGUCUUCGGCCGCCUUGACCACCCCGCCGACCUUGUCCGCGCCGCCGCUGUCUCCAGAACCUGGCGCAGAUGCGUGGUCGAGAGCGGCUUGAGCAAGAGCCUUUGCCUGCGGCUGUGCCCCGAGGUCGCCACCGUCGCCGCGGCGGCAGAGGUGACCAGAUCGCCGCCUUCAACCGCCUCCCCCGAGUCAGGCCACGAGAGGGACUACAGGAUAUACUCCAACCUCGCCGGCGCCUACGUCUCCGACUCCGGCGAGCCCUCCGCGGAAUGCAUCUUGCACUGUAUCGGCGCCUCAAGCACCGACGACUUCCCAAUUGAGACCAUGGAGAACACCCUCGACGAGGAGGAGAUAAUCAAUUUCCGCCCGUCCUAUUGGUCGAGCGGCGGGGCGGACGACCCCGAGGCGCCGGAGAGCCUUACCUACAGGCUCAACUCUGACAUCUGCAUUGUCGAUGAGGUUCGGGUGCGACCGUACCAAGCCUUUUUUCAGGAUGGUGACCCUAUAUACUCUUCAAAGAUGGUGCGAUUUCGGAUGGGCCAUUACAAGCUUCCGCGAGGAUCAGAGACGUUUGUAAUGGAUGAUUAUGAGAAUAAGAUGGUAAAUACUGAUGAAAAAUAUAUGUGGACUUACACUUCGCCAGAGUUCCCUAUGUUACAGAAAAACGAACUACAAUCCUUCAAGCUCCCACGCCCAGUCCUUUGCAUUGGUGGUGUGGUGAUGAUUGAACUCUUGGGCAGAGUACAGAAACAAGAAGCAGAUGAUAUGUACUACAUAUGUGUUUGCCAUGCUGAAGUGAUGGGGCGUUCACUCUCACCACUUUUCAUGGUUGACAUCUCGGAUCCUGAAGGUUAUUCAAUCCUCAAGUACUUACCGGGUGCCAAAGACCUAUCCAUCGAUGACUUUUUGCAAGAUGAUACCAAAGACUCGCCGGAGUGGCACUAUCUUGUUGAUAGAUACAGGCAGAUGAAUCACAGAGCAGUAGUAGUGAGUGCACUUCUGGAGCCUGUACAUUACAUGCAUGAUGUAGGUGGCAUCUCAGACGAUGAUCAUGAGGAUGAUGUAGGUGGCAUCUCAGACGAUGAUUAUCUUGAGUAG